rnacentral:snoRNA from 1 species
CUUUCCUAUGAUGACAAACACGAAAUUAUUAUUAUUUCUGGUACCUCUUAUGCCAGAAGGGAAGCCCAGCAGGGUUCUCUUCGAUGAUCUAAAUGGACUUCUGAUC